GAUGAACGCUAGCGGCAGGCCUAACACAUGCAAGUCGAGGGAGAAGCCUUUCGGGGCAGAAGCCGGCGCACGGGUGCGAAACGCGUAUGCAACCUACCUUUCACAGGGGGAUAGCCCGAAGAAAUUUGGAAUAAUAGCCCAUAAUAUUAUAGGAUGGCAUCAUCCGUUAAUUAAAACUGCGGUGGUGAUAGAUGGGCAUGAGUCCUAUUAGCUAGUUGGAGGGGUAACGGCACCCUAAGGUUACGAUAGGUAGGGGUCCUGAGGGGGAGCUGCCCCAAACGGGUACUGAGCAAGGAACCAGACUCCCACGGCAGAGACCAGUAAGGAAGAUUGCACAAUGAUCGAAUGACUGAACCAGCCAUGCCUCGUGCAGGAAGACUGCCUUAUGGAUUAUAACCUGCUUUUUUAAGGGAAAAAUAACGUGUACGUAUACAUUGAUGACGGUACCGUAUGAAUAAGCAGCGGCUAACUACGUG
rnacentral:rRNA from 1 species